rnacentral:tRNA from 1 species
GGAUCUAUAGCUCAGUUGGUAGAGCGCCUGCCUUACAAGCAGGAUGUCAUCGGUUCAAAUCCGGUUGGAUUCA